rnacentral:rRNA from 1 species
AGCGAACGCUGGCGGCAGGCUUAACACAUGCAAGUCGAGCGGGCACUUCGGUGUCAGCGGCAGACGGGUGUGUAACACGUGGGAACGUACCCUUCGGUUCGGAAUAACGCUGGGAAACUAGCGCUAAUACCGGAUACGCCCUUUUGGGGAAAGGUUUACUGCCGAAGGAUCGGCCCGCGUCUGAUUAGCUAGUUGGUGGGGUAAUGGCCUACCAAGGCGACGAUCAGUAGCUGGUCUGAGAGGAUGAUCAGCCACACUGGGACUGAGACACGGCCCAGACUCCUACGGGAGGCAGCAGUGGGGAAUAUUGGACAAUGGGCGCAAGCCUGAUCCAGCCAUGCCGCGUGAGUGAUGAAGGCCUUAGGGUUGUAAAGCUCUUUUGUCCGGGACGAUAAUGACGGUACCGGAAGAAUAAGCCCCGGCUAACUUCGUG